rnacentral:rRNA from 1 species
CAGUCUCAUUUUGCUGGUACCCGAAGCAAGGAAACACCCGCCCCGGGAGAAAGGGGCGAGGCAGAGAGCGAGAGCGCAGCGGCCGCCGGAGCGAGAAUGCGCGGCGGCGGGCGGGAGGACGAGGAGGCCGGGCAGAAGCUCAAGAGCAUGGACUCCGGCAAGGGCAUGGACGGCGGCGGCGGCAGCAGCGGCGACGACGACAGCCCGCACCCGCCGCGGCCCGCCGUCAAGUACCACGGCUGGAAGGCCAUGCCCUUCAUCAUAGGGAACGAGACGUUCGAGAAGCUGGGGACGCUGGGCACGUCGGCGAACCUGCUGGUGUACCUGACGCAGGUGUUCCACAUGCGGAGCGUGGACGCGGCGACGCUCCUCAACGGCCUCAACGGCACCACCAGCCUGGCGCCCAUCGUCGGCGCCUUCCUCUCCGACGCCUACCUCGGCCGCUACCUCGCGCUCGCCAUCGCCUCCGUCGCCUCCCUCAUCGGCAUGUUCUUCCUGACGCUGACGGCGGGCGCGGACAGCCUGCACCCGGCGGACUGCGGCGUGGGGGAGGUCUGCGAGAAGGCCACCUCCUACCAGCUCGCCGUCCUCUUCAUCGCCUUCGCCUUCCUGGUGAUCGGCUCCGCGGGGAUCCGGCCCUGCAGCAUGCCGUUCGGCGCCGACCAGUUCGACCCGCACACCGAGUCGGGCAAGCGCGGGAUCAACAGCUUCUUCAACUGGUACUACUUCACCUUCACCUCCGCCAUGCUCGUCUCCGCCACCGUCAUCAUCUACGUGCAGAGCAACGUCAACUGGGCCAUCGGCCUCGGCAUCCCCACCGCGCUCAUGUUCCUCGCCUGCGUGCUCUUCUUCAUGGGCACGCGCCUCUACGUGCGCGUCAUCCCCGAGGGCUCCCCCUUCACCACCAUCGUGCAGGUCUUCGCCGCCGCCUUCGCCAAGCGCUCGCUCAAGCAGGCCAAGGACCCCAAGCAGGACCUGUUCGACCCGCCGCACACCUCGGCCAUCGUCACCAAGCUUGCGCACACGGACCAGUUCCGGUGCCUCGACAAGGCGGCCAUGGUGGCGUCCCAGGACGAGGUGCGCCCCGGCGGCGCCACCGCGGCCGACCCCUGGCGGCUCUGCACCGUGCAGCAGGUGGAGGAGGUGAAAUGCCUCAUCCGCAUCGUGCCCGUCUGGUCCACCGGGAUCAUCUACUACGUGGCCGUGGUGCAGCAGUCCACCUACGUCGUCUUCUCCGCGCUGCAGUCCGACCGCCGCCUCGGCAGCAGCUUCCACGUCCCCGCCGCGUCAUUCACCGUCUUCGCCAUGCUCGCGCAGACGCUCUGGAUCCCCAUCUACGACCGGCUCCUCGUGCCGCGCCUCCGCAAGGUCACCGGCAAGGACGAGGGCUUCACGCUGCUCCAGCGCCAGGGCAUCGGGAUCGCGCUCUCCACCGUCGCCAUGAUCAUCUCCGCCGUCGUCGAGGACCGGCGCAGGGACAUCGCGCUCAACCAGCCCAACAUCGGCACGACGCAGACGGGGGGCGGCAUCUCCGCCAUGUCCAGCUUCUGGAUGGUGCCGCAGCUCAUGAUCCUCGGCCUCUCCGAGGCAUUCAACCUCAUCAGCCAGAUCGAGUUCUACUACAAGGAGAUCCCGGAGCACAUGAGGAGCGUCGCCGGCGCGCUCGCCUUCUGCAACCUCGCCCUGGGGAACUACCUCAGCGGCUUCCUGACGACGAUCGUGCACCGGACCACGGGGGCCGGCCAGAACUGGCUGGCGCAGGACCUCAACAAGGGCAGGCUCGACCUCUUCUACUGGAUGAUCGCCGGCAUUGGCGUCUUCAACUUUGUCUACUUCAUGAUCUGCGCCAGGUGGUACAGGUUCAAGGGGACCAGAGAUGCUUGAUGCAAUGGGGAAGAAGGGGGUAGAAUAAGGUCAGAUGAAGUGGGCGGGGAAAGAGAGGAAGAAAUGUACUGUAGACAACAAUGGGGUGGUUAAUUUCUUGUAAGUUGUUGAAAAUGAAAGAAACAACAAUGGGGUGGUUAAUUUCUUUCUUGUAAGUUGUUAAAAUGGAAGAUAAACUAUUUCACUGUACUUGUGGUUGGUUUCAGGCAUAAUGUGCCUUCAACUGUACUGUGAUGACCCAAUGGAGGCUCACAUUUC